rnacentral:rRNA from 1 species
UACGUAGGGGGGCAAGCGUUGUCCGGAAUCAUUGGGCGUAAAGCGCGUGUAGGCGGUCCGGUAAGUCCGCUGUGAAAGUCCAGGGCUCAACCCUGGGAUGCCGGUGGAUACUGUCGGGCUAGAGUACGGAAGAGGCGAGUGGAAUUCCCGGUGUAGCGGUGAAAUGCGCAGAUAUCGGGAGGAACACCAAUUGCGAAGGCAGCUCGCUGGGACGUUACUGACGCUGAGACGCGAAAAGCGUGGGGGAGCAAACAGG